rnacentral:rRNA from 2 species
AGCUCCAAUAGCGUAUAUUAAAGUUGUUGCAGUUAAAAAGCUCGUAGUUGGAUUUCGGGAUGGGCCAGUCGGUCUGCCGCAAGGUAAGUUACUGGCUGGUCUGUCCUUCUUCGCAAAGACUGCGCGUGCCCUUAACUGAGUGUGCGUAGGAUUUGCGACGUUUACUUUGAAAAAAUUAGAGUGUUCAAAGCAGGCUAACCGCUUGAAUACAUGAGCAUGGAAUAAUGGAAUAGGACUUUGGUUCUAUUUUGUUGGUUUCUGGAACCGAAGUAAUGAUUAAGAGGGACAGUUGGGGGCAUUCGUAUUUCGUUGUCAGAGGUGAAAUUCUUGGAUUUACGAAAGACGAACAACUGCGAAAGCAUUUGCCAAGAAUGUUUUCA